rnacentral:rRNA from 1 species
GGGGAAUAUUGGGCAAUGGGGGCAACCCUGACCCAGCAACGCCGCGUGAAGGAAGAAGGCUUUCGGGUUGUAAACUUCUUUGACGAGGGACGAAAGAAAUGACGGUACCUCGAAAACAAGCCACGGCUAACUACGUGCGAGCAGCCGCGGUAAUACGUAGGUGGCAAGCGUUGUCCGGAUUUACUGGGUGUAAAGGGCGCGUAGGCGGGAGCGCAAGUCAGAUGUGAAAUCUAUGGGCUUAACCCAUAAACUGCAUUUGAAACUGUGCUUCUUGAGUAUCGGAGAGGCAGGCGGAAUUCCUAGUGUAGCGGUGAAAUGCGUAGAUAUUAGGAGGAACACCAGUGGCGAAGGCGGCCUGCUGGACGACAACUGACGCUGAUGCGCGAAAGCGUGGGGAGCAAAC